rnacentral:rRNA from 1 species
AGUGAACGCUGGCGGUAGGCCUAACACAUGCAAGUCGAACGGCAGCACAGUAAGAGCUUGCUCUUACGGGUUGCGAGUGGCGGACGGGUGAGGAAUACAUCGGAAUCUACUUUUUCGUGGGGGAUAACGUAGGGAAACUUACUCUAAUACCGCAUACGACCUACGGGUGAAAGCAGGGGAUCUUCGGACCUUGCGCGAUUGAAUGAGCCGAUGUCGGAUUAGCUAGUUGGCGGGGUAAAGGCCCACCAAGGCGAGGAUCCGUAGCUGGUCUGAGAGGAGGGUCGGCCACACUGGAACUGAGACACGGUCCAGACUCCUACGGGAGGCAGCAGUGGGGAAUAUUGGACAGUGGGCGCAAGCCUGAUACAGCCAUACCGCGUGGGUGAAGAAGGCGUUCGGGUUGUAAAGCCCUUUUGUUGGGAAAGAAAAGCAGCAGGUUAAUACCACGCUGUUCUGACGGUACCCAAAGAAUAAGCACCGGCUAACUUCGUG